rnacentral:rRNA from 1 species
CCACACCGGGACUGAGACACGGCCCGGACUCCUACGGGAGGCAGCAGUGGGGAAUAUUGGACAAUGGGGGCAACCCUGAUCCAGCCAUGCCGCGUGUGUGAAGAAGGCCUUUUGGUUGUAAAGCACUUUAAGCAGUGAAGAAGACCUAACGGUUAAUACCCGUUAGCGAUGACAUUAGCUGCAGAAUAAGCACCGGCUAACUCUGUGCCAGCAGCCGCGGUAAUACAGAGGGUGCAAGCGUUAAUCGGAAUUACUGGGCGUAAAGCGAGCGUAGGUGGCUUGAUAAGUCAGAUGUGAAAUCCCCGGGCUUAACCUGGGAACUGCAUCUGAUACUGUUGGGCUAGAGUAGGUGAGAGGGAGGUAGAAUUUCAGGUGUAGCGGUGAAAUGCGUAGAGAUCUGAAGGAAUACCGAUGGCGAAGGCAGCCUCCUGGCAUCAUACUGACACUGAGGUUCGAAAGCGUGGGUAGCAAACAGGAUUAGAUACCCUGGUAGUCCACGCCGUAAACGAUGUCUACUAGCCGUUGGGGAACUUGAUUCCUUAGUGACGCAGCUAACGCAAUAAGUAGACCGCCUGGGGAGUACGGCCGCAAGGUUAAAACUCAAAUGAAUUGACAGGGGCCCGCACAAGCGGUGGAGCAUGUGGUUUAAUUCGAUGCAACGCGAAGAACCUUACCUGGUCUUGACAUAUCUAGAAUCCUGCAGAGAUGCGGGAGUGCCUUCGGGAAUUAGAAUACAGGUGCUGCAUGGCUGUCGUCAGCUUGUGUCGUGAGAUGUUGGGUUAAGUCCCGCAACGAGCGCAACCCUUUUCCUUAGUUACCAGCGGUUUGGCCGGGGACUCUAAGGAUACUGCCAGUGACAAACUGGAGGAAGGCGGGGACGACGUCAAGUCAUCAUGGCCCUUACGACCAGGGCUACACACGUGCUACAAUGGUAGGUACAGAGGGCAGCUACACAGCGAUGUGAUGCGAAUCUCAAAAAGCCUAUCGUAGUCCAGAUUGGAGUCUGCAACUCGACUCCAUGAAGUAGGAAUCGCUAGUAAUCGCGGUUCAGAAUGCCGCGGUGAAUACGUUCCCGGGCCUUGUACACACCGCCCGUCACAC